AACGUAGGUCCCGAGCGUUAUCCGGAUUUACUGGGCGUAAAGCGUGUUCAGGCGGUCUAGCAAGUCGGGCAUGAAAUCUCUCGGCUCAACCGGGAGGGGUUGUCCGAUACUGCUGGGCUUGAGGGCAGCAGAGAGUGGUGGAAUUCCGGGUGUAGUGGUGAAAUGCGUAGAUAUCCGGAGGAACACCAGUGGCGAAGGCGGCCACCUGGGCUGUACCUGACGCUCAAACACGAAAGCUAGGGGAGCGAACGGG
rnacentral:rRNA from 1 species